CAGGCCUAACACAUGCAAGUCGAGCGGACUUAUCCUUCGGGAUAGGUUAGCGGCGGACGGGUGAGUAACACGUAGGCAACCUGCCUGUAAGAUCGGGAUAACUACCGGAAACGGUAGCUAAGACCGGAUAGCUGGUUUCUCCGCAUGGGGGAAUCAUGAAACACGGGGCAACCUGUGGCUUACGGAUGGGCCUGCGGCGCAUUAGCUAGUUGGUGGGUAACGGCCCACCAAGGCGACGAUGCGUAGCCGACCUGAGAGGUGAUCGGCCACACUGGGACUGAGACACGGCCCAGACUCCUACGGGAGGCAGCAGUAGGGAAUCUUCCGCAAUGGGCGCAAGCCUGACGGAGCAACGCCGCGUGAGUGAUGAAGGUUUUCGGAUCGUAAAGCUCUGUUGCCAAGGAAGAACGCCUCGGAGAGUAACUGCUCUGAGGGUGACGGUACUUGAGAAGAAAGCCCCGGCUAACUACGUGCCAGCAGCCGCGGUAAUACGUAGGGGGCAAGCGUUGUCCGGAAUUAUUGGGCGUAAAGCGCGCGCAGGCGGUCUUUUAAGUUUGGUGUUUAAGCCCGGGGCUCAACCCCGGUUCGCACUGAAAACUGGGAGACUUGAGUGCAGGAGAGGAAAGCGGAAUUCCACGUGUAGCGGUGAAAUGCGUAGAGAUGUGGAGGAACACCAGUGGCGAAGGCGGCUUUCUGGACUGUAACUGACGCUGAGGCGCGAAAGCGUGGGGAGCAAACAGGAUUAGAUAC
rnacentral:rRNA from 1 species